ACAAUGGAUGAAAGGAUCGAGUGAGAUGCGCAAAAAAAAAAAAAAAACCCAGAGGAGAGAAUUUGAAGAGAAUCAAGAUUCAGCCUUUGUUUUAGUUCUAAUUUGUCCUACGACAGUGAAACCUUCCCAGAUUGGCCUCAGGUAGCGGUACGUUUCCAGCUAUAUUAUGUGACAUGUAACAGAGGUGCAUAAAAAGCCACAUGAGUAUGUUCAGAUACCCACACCCUAACUGGAGCUAAAGAGCAGCAGCUUUUGAAGGCAAGGUUGAGCAGCACCAAGGAGCAAAGCCUGUCCCCCACUUCCUUCACCAUCAUAGAGGUUCUGGAAGUAGUCCUUGCUUGGCUUUCCAAGUGAAAGCUGCUACCAACAGUACUGAAUUACUUAAAAAUUGAUGUUUAUUGUCCACAUGGUGUGCAGCUGAGCGAGCUGCUGUGGCUCCUCGCAAGAGGAAAAAUGCUUGUUGAAUGAACCAUGAUCUGCCCCCACCUUUUUUUUUUUUUUUUUUAGCUUUAAUUGAAUGUGGGAGAGACAGGUUUGGAACUGCUUUUGGGUGAUGGCAGAGGAACUUCUUUUAAGUAAUCUGGGGUAGUUCCAAAAGGCAUUCCAGUUCUCAGAAAAUGUCCAGGGCUGCCGCGCGCCGUGACGCAGGAUGGAGCAGCUGCACACUGGGGAUUGUGCUCCGAGGGAAAGGAACAGAUUCGGAGUGUUCAAACCACGAGUCCUCCUACCUCUCCUUUCCGCUGGAGUCAGCAGCUCUGCCGAAGUCCCGCUGCCCAUUUUAGCUUCUGAAAGACUAGACUAAUUGCUAACGUCUCCUACGAGGACAGAUGUGUACAGAAAAGAUGUACACUAAAAGAGACGCGUAAUAUUUGCCAUUUCAAACAGUGUUCAGCUUUGUAAAGUUGUUUUUAUGCAUUGAAGUGAAAUGUUUAAGUUAAUUGAGUUGAAUACAACGAUAGCUGGCAGCUGUAUCAUAAUAACCCUUCGAUAUACAUGCAGACACAAGGAAGCAUAGAAGCAUUGCUAUUGUUUGUUGCUUUAUUCUGCCUUUGACUUUUUCUUUUUAAUGUCAUUUUUUCUUUUAAGGUUAUCUGCUCUGAUCUGCAGUAAUGUGGAUGCGUAACUGACUGUAUUUGGACUAAAGAUAUUCUUGUCUGUAUGUUUUCCUCGCCAGGCAUUUAGACUAUAAGCUAUAUUGAAAGCAUCAGGCAGAAAGCUAUACUGAAAACAUCAGACAUAAAUAGUUUAAUAUUAAACCAGCUUUGUAUUAUUUUUAUUCCCAUUCAUUUUUAAAGCCUUUUUAAAAAAAAUCUUUAAUUAAUUGCCUUGCAGAGUAAGUUGUUUUUGAAGGCUCACAACUAGCAUUUUCAUAGGCAGUUUUGGGGGUCUUUGUUGCUUGUUUUUUUUUUUUAUAAACUGCCAAAGGGCAUAAACAUACUUACAGUUUUCUAUAGCCAUCUGACAGCAUGUAUGCAAGGAAAUAAAGAUGUCCUUCUCCUGUAUUUUCCCUUAAAUGGCUGGAGAAUGUAUUAUGUUGAUUGGCAUGAGAAAGAAGGCUGUGAUCUUAUUUUUACUGUAUGUUAUAGCGGUUUCAAACUUAUCAAAAGAAGAAAUAGAGGCUUUUUAGAUGGCUGCUUGCCAACAUCACUAAUCAGAAUUUUAAUGAGAUUUUUCUUUUCGAGGCCUAAAUUAGGUCUAAUUAACAAUAUAUAAAGCAAAUGUAUAAUGCCAUAAAAGGGAUGCAGCCUACUGCAUAUAGAAUGUUUCAAUCUCUUUACAAAUAGAAAUAUUGAAGAAAAUACACAUUCUUAUGAUGUUUUAAA